UCUUAUCCAGCAAAGCCAUGAGCGAGUCCAGGCUAUUGUUAAAUGACUGGAAUUUCUUUUUGCAGAUAGUGCACGCCUGAAGAAGAGAAUAUAAAUCGAUCAAAUCCGAAUUAGGUUUUAAUAUGAAAUGUGAAUAUCUAUACCGAUCCGCAUUUGUUGCUUUUGAGUGGCAGACCAACACUUUUCCAAAUGUCGACCAUAUCCUCGACAAAGCGAUCCAUCAUCUCGACGGUGUGGUGUGGUGUCGGAGAAAUG